rnacentral:rRNA from 1 species
AGUGAACGCUGGCGGUAGGCCUAACACAUGCAAGUCGAACGGCAGCACAGUAAGAGCUUGCUCUUACGGGUGGCGAGUGGCGGACGGGUGAGGAAUACAUCGGAAUCUACUUUUUCGUGGGGGAUAACGUAGGGAAACUUACGCUAAUACCGCAUACGACCUACGGGUGAAAGCAGGGGAUCUUCGGACCUUGCGCGAUUGAAUGAGCCGAUGUCGGAUUAGCUAGUUGGCGGGGUAAAGGCCCACCAAGGCGACGAUCCGUAGCUGGUCUGAGAGGAUGAUCUGCCACACUGGAACUGAGACACGAUCCAGACUCCUACGGGAGGCAGCAGUGGGGAAUAUUGGACAAUGGGCGCAAGCCUGAUCCAGCCAUACCGCGUGGGUGAAGAAGGCCUUCGGGUUGUAAAGCCCUUUUGUUGGGAAAGAAAAGCAGCAGGUUAAUACCCCGCUGUUCUGACGGUACCCAAAGAAUAAGCACCGGCUAACUUCGUG